rnacentral:rRNA from 1 species
AGUGAACGCUGGCGGUAGGCCUAACACAUGCAAGUCGAACGGCAGCACAGUAAGAGCUUGCUCUUACGGGUGGCGAGUGGCGGACGGGUGAGGAAUACAUCGGAAUCUACUUUUUCGUGGGGGAUAACGUAGGGAAACUUACGCUAAUACCGCAUACGACCUACGGGUGAAAGCAGGGGAUCUUCGGACCUUGCGCGAUUGAAUGAGCCGAUGUCGGAUUAGCUAGUUGGCGGGGUAGAGGCCCACCAAGGCGACGAUCCGUAGCUGGUCUGAGAGGAUGAUCAGCCACACUGGAACUGAGACACGGUCCAGACUCCUACGGGAGGCAGCAGUGGGGAAUAUUGGACAAUGGGCGCAAGCCUGAUCCAGCCAUACCGCGUGGGUGAAGAAGGCCUUCGGGUUGUAAAGCCCUUUUGUUGGGAAAGAAAAGCAGCAGGUUAAUACCCCGCUGCUCUGACGGUACCCAAAGAAUAAGCACCGGCUAACUUCGUG